UACAGAGGGGGCAAGCGUUGUUCGGAAUUACUGGGCGUAAAGGGCGCGUAGGCGGCCUUCUAAGUCGAAACGUGAAAUCCCCGGGCUCAACCCGGGAACUGCGUCCGAUACUGGAAGGCUUGAAUCCGGGAGAGGGAUGCGGAAUUCCAGGUGUAGCGGUGAAAAUGCGUAGAUAUCGGAGAGACGGAUGACCGAAGGCAAG
rnacentral:rRNA from 1 species